CAAAUAGUUUUGCUUGGUAGCCUAUAAAUAGAGGCUACAACAAAGAAGAAAGGAUAUUCCUUCAUCCAUUCCAUUUUCUUUGUCUCUCCAUUUCCUUUCCAUUUUCCUUUCCAUCCUCUAGUUUCAAGUUUAGUCAUCUCCACGAGUUCAAGCAAGGCCAAAGAAGAAGAAGAGAAGCCGUGAGCACUUCCAUCCAUAGCCAUCCUUGAAGCUUGCUUUCGAGUUUCAAGAAUCCACAACGUGAAUCAUCCAUCUCAUCUUCAUCCACGGUGUACCCUCAAUCCCCGGAAUAGAACGAUCCCUAUUUGCUUAUACUACUAACGAUCUUUUCAGGGUUAAAUUAUGCGCUUGCUUUGAGCGUAUCAGUGUACUACUCGAGUCUACAAUUUUCAAAGUAGUUGGCUUCAAGAUUUGCCAUUACUUGGAUACUUAGAAAAUCGGUGUACUAUUGUUUUGCCAAUAAUGGAACUCAGAAUUGGGGCGAGGGGCGAACAUCAUUCAAGUGGAAAUUUAAAAGUCAA